rnacentral:rRNA from 1 species
GAGUUGUUUGGGAAUGCUGCUCAAAAUGGGAGGUAAACCCCUUCUAAAGCUAAAUACUGGCCAGAGACCGAUAGCGCACAAGUAGAGUGAUCGAAAGAUGAAAAGCACUUUGAAAAGAGAGUUAAAAAGCACGUGAAAUUGUUGAAAGGGAAGCGUUUGCGACCAGACUUGCGCCCGUCGAAUCAACCGUCCCUCGUGGGCGGCGCACUUCGGCGGGCUCAGGCCAGCAUCAGUUCGCUGCAGGGGGAGAAAAGCGGUGGGAAUGUGGCUCUUCGGAGUGUUAUAGCCCGCCGCAUAAUACCCCUCGGCGGACUGAGGACCGCGCUUUUGCAAGGAUGCUGGCGUAAUGGUCGUCAGCGACCCGUCUUGAAACACGGACCC